ACGCAGGUUCGAUCCCUGGCCUUGAUCAGUGGGUUAAGGAUCCGGCAUUGCCGUGAGCUGUGGUGUAGGUUGCAGACAUAGCUUGGAUCUUGUGUUGCUGUGGUUGUGGUAUAGGCUGGCAGCUACAGCUCCGAUUGGACCCCUAGCCUGGGAACCUCCAUGUGUGCAGGUGUGGCUCUAAAAAGAAAAAAAAAAAAUUAACAACAAAAAAGAAAUAAUACUGAAAUAGCAUUAUACUAACAUAAAAAAUUAAGGUGGAAUCUUAGCAAAGAGAGUUUUGCUUGAACUGUUUCAUCUGGGUUUUGGGGGGGUUUUUUUUGGUCUUUGGACAAAAAACGCGGCUCGGAUCUGGUGUGGCUGUGGCUGUGGUGUAGGCCAUCAGCUACAGAUCUGAUUCGACCCCUUCUUCUAGCCUGGGAACCUCCAUAUGCUGUGGGUGCAGCCUGAAAAAAAAAAAAAAAAGUAUAAAAGGCGGAACUAGUAACUCUUAUGCAAAGUGACUUAUAAGGCACCAGGAGAAUACACCAAGGAUAUAAUACUAAGAUGAUAAUGUUAUUUCAGCCUUAUCUUCAACUUCAGAAGACAGAUAUCUAAAACCAGUAUUAACUUCAAAUGAGUAUGCUUAGGUGACAUGUAUCUGAUUACAUGCUCUAGGUUUACUUUUGCUUGAAUUUUGCACCCUACUGCCUAACAAGUUAUUUUUAGCCUUCCUCUUGCCUCGUUUCCAUGCACAAAUUGUGCAGCCCUAACCAGUAUCCACUGCCAACCUGGAUUUCUUCCAUUGUCCUCUCAUCUCCAUUGCCCCAUAGAUCUCAUCUAUCUAUAUAUCUCAACCAGAAAAACUGAGUGACAGGAGACUAUUUUUUUUGUAUGUCAGUUAUACUUCAAUAAAAAUCUAUUAUUAGUUUCAAGUGUACAACAUAGUGAUUUGAGACUUAAACAUUAUGAGAUGAUCAUCAUCAUAAAGCCUAGUUAUCAUCCACUAGCAUUUAAAGUUAUUACAAUAUGGAGUUCCUGUUGUGGCUCAGUGGGUUAAGAACCCUAACUAGUAGCCAAGAGGAUGUGGAUUCAAUCCCUGGCCUCACCAGGUUAAGGAUCCAGUGAUGCCACAAGCUACAGCAUAGGUCGCAGAUAGGGCUCAGAUCUCUCGUUGCUGUAGCUGUGGCGUAGGUCUGCAGCUGGUGUUCUGAUCCAGCUCCUAGCCCAGGAACUUCCAUGUGCCACAGGUACAGCCCUUAAAAAAAAAAAAAGUUAUUACGAUAUUAUUGACUGUAUUUCCUAUUCUGUAUAUAACAUCCUGAUGACUUAUAAUAACUGCAAGUUUGUACCUCUUGAGACUUUUUCCAAAAACUCCAAAAAAUGAGUAUAUCUGAUGAUAUUAAGAUGUAAAGGAAUCUAUAGCUCCACUGUCUAAAACAAUGCCCAACACGUAGUAGCUGCUCAGUAUUUGUUGAAGGAGUAAAAUGCCUUAGUAAACCUGUAAUUAGCAUGAGAAUAGCUGCUCUGCUAUGAAGCUGGCUCAGACAUUUCUGAAUUGAUGUUUUUGUCCAUCUAGAAAGCCACCAGCUCCUCUCGAAGUGAACAUGAAGGGCGGAAAGGCACUAUUUCACAGUAUUUCACUACCUUACACUGUCCUGUGUGUGAUGACCUGACUCAGCAUGGCAUCUGUACUAAAUGUCGCAGCCAACCUCAGCACGUUGCAGUCAUCCUCAACCAAGAAAUUCGAGAGUUGGAACGUCAACAGGAGCAGCUUGUAAAGAUAUGCAGAAACUGUACCGGUUGCUUUGAUCGACAUAUUCCGUGUGUUUCUCUGAACUGCCCAGUACUUUACAAACUCUCUCGAGUAAAUAGAGAAUUAUCCAAGGCACCAUAUCUCCGGCAAUUACUAGACCAGUUUUAAGUUGUCAAUAUCACAGAAUUCCAGGUGCUAUUUUUUUCAGUGUUUACCACUAAACUGUUGUGCAUGGUGCUUUUUCAACUUUCAUCAAGUCAAGUAUGUUCAUUGUCUGUCUGUUAUCUGGAGACUAUGAAGACUUUUAUGCUAACUGAAUUAAAAAUUGUACUUGUUGAUCUCUGAAUAGCUCAUUUCUUACAAUGUACAAAUUUCUCAUCCUUUCACCUUUUUAACAUUGUUUUAUAAUGCAGGUGUCUAGAAUUUGCUCCAGUAUGUGUAACAUCUUGUAAAUCCAUUUGAGUAGAUCAUAUUUACUUCCCUGUGGAAGGAGCACUGAAAACCUCUUUUAAAAAAACCAUUCGUGUUUUCCUUGAAAUGUCUGUUAUCAAGACGUGUUAGAGAUAUUCAUUCACUUUAUAAUUUUGACUGCGAAAUAUUUUGUAAAUACACUUUUUUACUUUUCAAACAACUGAGUAAAAAUAAUGUGCAAUGAAUUUUAUACAAAUGAUUUUCAAGUUGUUUGGUAUAUAUAUCCUCUAGGUUUUGCUUGACUCAGAGUAGAGUUGUUAUUUUGAUCAAACUGUGCAAACAAUAGUACCAUGUGUAGCAUUUUGAAACAUUAUUUUCUAAAACCGCUGUCUUGCUUUAGCUAUUAAUGGGGCAUUGUGAGGAACUGUGCAAAGACAUUUUUGUUACAAACCUGUGGGCCUGUUGCAAUACUUUAAAAAUAAAAAAUUUUAUUCCAUUUUUGCUUGUUUUGUAUAGACAUUUCUAUUGCUUCUAAAUAUGCUUAAAAUAUUUUCUUUCCUUACGUACUGUACAGUUAAUCUUAUUUGCCAUCAUCUUGAACACAAAAUGUGUAUUUAGAAUAUUUGUAUAACUGUAUAAAAUAAAAAAGGAAUUAUGUGGUCAGUGCAUUGUUUUUUAAACUGGAAAUCAUUUUGUUUUAAAAGUUAAUAAUGGAAACCAUAUUAAAAUUGAAUAAAAUAUGAAAUAUGGCAGUGUGGUUUUAUCUUGCUGUAAAAUAGAAUUAUUUUCAUCUAAAAAAAAUAAAUAAAUUAGGAGUUCCCCUCAUGGCGCAGUGGUUAACAAAUCCGACUAGGAACCAUGAGGUUGCGCGUUCGAUCCCUGCCCUUGCUCAGUGGGUUAAGGAUCUGGCGUUGCCAUGAGCUGUGGUGAAGGCUGCAGAUGCGGCUCGGAUCCCGCGUUGCUGUGGCUCUGGCGUAGGCAGGUGGCUACAGCUCCGACUGGACCCCUAGCCUGGGAACCUCCAUAUGCCACGGGAACAGCCCUAGAAAAGGCAAAAAGACAAAAAAAAAAAAAAAAAAAAAAAAAA
rnacentral:lncRNA from 1 species